GCAGCAAUAGCUCAGUCAGUAGAGCAUGAGACUCUUAAUUUCAUGGUCAUAGGUUCGAGCCCCAUGUUCCACA
rnacentral:tRNA from 1 species